rnacentral:lncRNA from 1 species
UGCUGUCUGUGGCCAUCUUCUUGAGUGGUGGCUGCUGGAUUAAGUUAUCCAUACCUGCUUUGCGUUUAUCUUUCAUCGGAAACCCGGGUAACAACAAGGGAAUGCAGGGAAAAUUAAGAGUGUUAGCAACUGCCAAAAUGAAAUUUAGAACAUAACAUAAGGAUAGUGUAACAAUAGGGUAAAAGAUCAGUUCACAGCCCGUGGUUUGAUCUUAUUGCAAUUAAGAAUCUACACUACUUUUGUCAUUUUACCUGAAGUUCUUAUAUCUCUAGACUAUUAUCUUAUAACUAUAUUGUUUAACCAUAACAUAUAAUCAUGUUCAAAAUCCAAACAUGUGCAAAUAUACUAAAGUUUUUGUACAAUGACAAAAAAUCAAACCACAAAGCACUGAAUUGUCAUAAAAAAUUAACAAGAAUGGAGCAGCAAUAAAAGCCAAACCACAAUGAUUUUUUAUUGUUGAAUGUAAAAAGCCAAACCACAAUGAUUGAACCUAUGUCAUUAAUGACAUGCUGCACGAGCAACUAGCAUCUAUAAACAUAAAAGCAGAUGUUCAUAAGUACUGAGAUGCAACAAGUUAUAAAGAAAGUAUACUUUGCAUCAUAUUUGCAAAUUUUUCUUUGCUCUUCAUGAUAGCACGCGUUGGAGGAGAAAGCAAACCACGUAAUGUUUUAUGCCGAAGCCGAUCAUACAUGCAUAGACCAGCAGCACCCUGGAGGUUAUAUACUCGUUAGUUCCAUAAAGCAGCAAAAAUACGUAUGUAGUUAGAAAAAUAAAGUUCACCAUCAAGGCCCCAUAAACACGCCAAGCUUCACAUCUCUUCGU